CGUANGGAUUCUGGGCGUAAGCGCGCGUAGGUGGCCAUUUAAGUCGGAUGUGAAAUCCCCGAGCUCAACUUGGGAAUUGCAUACGAUACUGGGUGGCUAGAGUAUAGGAGAGGAAGGUAGAAUUCCAGGUGUAGCGGUGAAAUGCGUAGAGAUCUGGAGGAAUACCGAUGGCGAAGGCAGCCUUCUGGCCUAAUACUGACACUGAGGUGCGAAAGCAUGGGGAGCAAACAGGAUUAGAUACCCUGGGUAGUCCA
rnacentral:rRNA from 1 species